AUAUUUGACUGGCAGGGGAGAUAACCAUGGCCACAAGGGUGAUUUUCCCAGGGCGAAUCUUAUCCAACAAUUUCUGGAUAUGCUGACACCUGCGAUUUCCCAAAAUGUGGGAAACUCGACUGCAUAAUUUGUGGUAGUGGGGGACUACGUUUGCACUAUUCUGAC
ensembl:snRNA U1 U1 spliceosomal RNA